rnacentral:rRNA from 1 species
GACGAACGCUGGCGGUGUGCUUAACACAUGCAAGUGGUGCGACGAACCAGGCUUCGGCCUGGGGCAAAGCCGCGAACGGGUGAGUAACACGUGGGUAAUCUGCCCCGAUGACCGGGACAACCCGAGGAAACUCGGGCUAAUACCGGAUGUGGUGCACAGGCUCAAGCCUGUGUACUAAAGGUAGCUUCGGCUUCCGCAUUGGGAGGGGCCCGCGGCCCAUUAGCUUGUUGGUGGGGUCAAGGCCUACCAAGGCAACGAUGGGUAGCUGGUCUGAGAGGACGAUCAGCCACACUGGGACUGAGACACGGCCCAGACUCCUACGGGAGGCAGCAGUGGGGAAUCUUGCGCAAUGCGCGAAAGCGUGACGCAGCAACACCGCGUGAGGGAAGACGGCCCUAGGGUUGUAAACCU